rnacentral:rRNA from 1 species
UAGGUAGGUGGUCUCAUUUGUCUGGGGUGAAAGCCCAGGGCUUAACCCUGGAAGUGCCCCGGAAACGGUGAGACUGGAGUCCUGGAGAGGGUCGUGGAAUUCCCGGUGUAGCGGUGAAAUGCGUAGAGAUCGGGAGGAACACCAGAGGCGAAGGCGGCGACCUGGACAGGUACUGACACUCAACUACGAAAGCGUGGGGAGCAAACAGGAUUAGAUACCCUGGUAGUCCACGCUGUAAACGAUGGGUACUAGGUUUGGUGGGUCUUGACCCCCGCCGAACCGGCGCUAACGCAAUAAGUACCCCGCCUGGGAAGUACGGUCGCAAGACUAAA